rnacentral:tRNA from 1 species
GGCCCAAUGGUCUAGUGGUAUGAUUCGCCCUUCGGGUUAACAACAAUCCUCACGCGCAGCGUGACUGGGCGAGGCCCCGUGUUCGAAUCACGGUUGGGCCC